GGUUGGUUAGCUCAGCUGAUAGAGUGCUCCACUGGAAAUGGAGAGGUCCCUGAUUCGAUACCAGGACCAGGCA
rfam:Ixodes scapularis strain Wikel colony gcontig_1108379233346, whole genome shotgun sequence.